rnacentral:tRNA from 1 species
UUCCUAAUAGCUCAGUCGGUAAAGAAUCUGCCUGCAAUGCAGGAGACCAGGGUUUGAUCCCUGGGUAGGGAG